GAUUCAGUAGCUCAGCUGGUAGCAUUUGAAAGACGAGCGCAAGCGAGGCUUUUAAAUGCCUUGGAGCGACAACACUUUUAAUGUUGGGGUCCUGGGUUCGAGCCCCAGGCGGAUCA
rnacentral:tRNA from 1 species